rnacentral:rRNA from 1 species
GGAGGGAGCGAGCGUUGUUCGGAAUCACUGGGCGUAAAGGGCGCGUAGGCGGCCGAGUAAGUCGUGUGUGAAAGACCGGGGCUCAACUCCGUGUACUGCAUGCGAUACUGCCCGGCUAGAGAAAGGUAGAGGCGAGUGGAAUUCCCGGUGUAGCGGUGGAAUGCGUAGAUAUCGGGAAGAACACCUGUGGCGAAGGCGGCUCGCUGGGCCUCUUCUGACGCUGAAGUGCGAAAGCGUGGGGGGAGCAAACAGGAUUAGAUACCCUGGUAGUCCACGCCGUAAACGAUGGGCACUAGGCGUUGGGAGGAUUGACCCCCCCUCUCAGUGCCGUAGCUAACGCGUUAAGUGCCCCCGCCUGGGAGUACGGCCGCAAGGCUG